CAAGUGGAGAGGAGGCCUCCUUCAGUUCCUUCUGGUCUUAAGACUCCAUAACUGAGUGAGAAGGACCUUUGCAGCUGGGGUGCAGUAGAGGCCUCUGCAAGCUCGCUCCCCCCACCCCUGCCAGCUCAGCAGGGGUGCCUGAGUCUCCUUGGGCCGCUCUGCUGCCGCAUGCUAACUCAGCAGCCACUCCGGUCCCUUGACGACAGAGCCCUGCUCUCGUGACAGAGUUGGCAAACCCCAGGCCGGAAGUGAAGGAGACACACAUCUUUCUUCCUGUCUGACAUUGGAUGGAGCCGGUGGUAGGAGGCUGUGGCACCUGUGACUAUUGACAGGACAGCAGAGAGUCGCAGAAGCCACCCCAAGGAUUGGCUGAAUCAAUGGCCCUAAAAUUGCCUAUACCCUGACCUGUUGCUCUGUAAGCCAAUAAAUAUCAGGGUUUAAGUCA